AUUGAACGCUGACGGCAUGCUUUACACAUGCAAGUCGAACGGUAACAGGUUAAGCUGACGAGUGGCGAACGGGUGAGUAAUGCAUCGGAACGUGCCCGGUCGUGGGGGAUAACGCAGCGAAAGCUGCGCUAAUACCGCAUACGAUCUGAGGAUGAGAGCGGGGGACCGUAAGGCCUCGCGCGAUCGGAGCGGCCGAUGUCAGAUUGGGUAGUUGGUGGGGUAAAGGCUCACCAAGCCGACGAUCUGUCGCUGGUCUGAGAGGACGACCAGCCCCACUGGGACUGAGACACGGCGCAGACUCCUGCGAGAGGCAGAAGUGGGGAAUUUUGGACAAUGGGCGCAAGGCUGAUCCAGCAAUGCCGCGUGCAGGAAGAAGGCCUUCGGGUUGUAAACUGCUUUUGUACGGAGCGAAAAGGCUCUCUCUAAUACGGAGGGCUCAUGACGGUACCGUAAGAAUAAGCACCGGCUAACUACGUGCCAGCCGCCGCGGUAAGAC
rnacentral:rRNA from 1 species